GUUACACUCCACAGUAACUUGGCAGGCAAUUUCAUAUCCAAGCUCCUUUAGAAUCACUGGGUGAACAUCAUCUGGUCCUGCUGAUAUAUCACUGCUCAUGCUAUUGGCUUCUGGCCCAUCAGUUCAGGCCAUUACUCAUCACCUGCAGAUGAAAGUUCUAGCAUAGAAACUCUCCUAAUUCCUUCUACAGUGAACACUGCUGCAGCUGUCCUAGUCCCACAAGGAAGUUUCCCUCAAGUACAUUGUGGUCACUGUCACACCAUCAUUCUACAAAGGGAAUGCAGAAUGGUAUUAUUUAAAUCUAUAAGCUGAGCACUACACAUUUGGAGCUGGCUGUUUAUGCAGACAAGCUUUCCCCAAGCCUGAAAGGGAGUUUUCAGUAAUUUCAGUGCUCAGCUGAGUGCAGCCUCAGAAGAGAGAAGAGCCAAAACUCCCACCAAGGCUUCAAAAAGGACUCUGGGACAAGAG